rnacentral:rRNA from 1 species
GACGAACGCUGGCGGCGUGCCUAAUACAUGCAAGUCGAGCGAAGUUUUUCUGGUGCUUGCACCGGAAAAACUUAGCGGCGAACGGGUGAGUAACACGUAAAGAACCUGCCUUAUAGACUGGGACAACUAUUGGAAACGAUAGCUAAUACCGGAUAACAGCAUUAACUGCAUGGUUGAUGUUUGAAAGUUGGUUUUGCUAACACUAUGAGAUGGCUUUGCGGUGCAUUAGCUAGUUGGUGGGGUAAAGGCCUACCAAGGCGACGAUGCAUAGCCGACCUGAGAGGGUGAUCGGCCACACUGGGACUGGGACACGGCCCAGACUCCUACGGGAGGCAGCAGUAGGGAAUCUUCCGCAAUGGGCGAAAGCCUGACGGAGCAACGCCGCGUGAGUGAAGAAGGAUUUCGGUUCGUAAAGCUCUGUUGUUAGGGAAGAAUGAUUGUGUAGUAACUAUACACAGUAGAGACGGUACCUAACCAGAAAGCCACGGCUAACUACGUG